GACGAACGCUGGCGGCGUGCUAAACACAUGCAAGUCGAACGGUGAAGCUCCAGCUUGCUGGAGUGGAUCAGUGGCGAACGGGUGAGUAACACGUGAGCAACCUGCCCCUGACUCUGGAAUAAGCGCUGGAAACGGCGUCUAAUACUGGAUACGAGAAGGGUCCGCAUGGGCACUUUCUGGAAAGUUUUUCGGUUGGGGAUGGGCUCGCGGCCUAUCAGCUUGUUGGUGAGGUAAUGGCUCACCAAGGCGACGACGGGUAGCCGGCCUGAGAGGGCGACCGGCCACACUGGGACUGAGACACGGCCCAGACUCCUACGGGAGGCAGCAGUGGGGAAUAUUGCACAAUGGGCGAAAGCCUGAUGCAGCGACGCCGCGUGAGGGAUGACGGCCUUCGGGUUGUAAACCUCUUUCAGCAGGGAAGAAGCGAAAGUGACAGUACCUGCAGAAGAAGCACCGGCUAACUACGUG
rnacentral:rRNA from 1 species